rnacentral:tRNA from 1 species
UCCCUGGUGGCUCAGAUAGUAAAGAAUCUGCUUGCAAUGCAGGAGAACCAGGUUCAAUCCCUGGGUCGGGAA